rnacentral:rRNA from 1 species
AACGAACGCUGGCGGCAGGCUUAACACAUGCAAGUCGAACGCCCCGCAAGGGGAGUGGCAGACGGGUGAGUAACGCGUGGGAAUCUACCCAGAUCUUCGGAACAACUGAGGGAAACUUCAGCGAAUACCGGAUACGCCCUACGGGGGAAAGAUUUAUCGGUGCUGGAUGAGCCCGCGUUGGAUUAGCUAGUUGGUGGGGUAAUGGCCUACCAAGGCGACGAUCCAUAGCUGGUCUGAGAGGACGAUCAGCCACACUGGGACUGAGACACGGCCCAGACUCCUACGGGAGGCAGCAGUGGGGAAUAUUGGACAAUGGCGAAAGCCUGAUCCAGCCAUGCCGCGUGAGUGAUGAAGGCCUUAGGGUUGUAAAGCUCUUUCAGUGGGGAAGAUAAUGACGGUACCCACAGAAGAAGCCCCGGCUAACUUCGUGCCAGCCGCCGCGGUAAUAC